rnacentral:rRNA from 1 species
UGGGGAAUAUUGCACAAUGGGCGAAAGCCUGAUGCAGCGACGCCGCGUGCGGGAUGAAGGCCUUCGGGUUGUAAACCGCUUUUAAUUGGGAGCAAGCGAGAGUGAGUGUACCUUUUGAAUAAGCACCGGCUAACUACGUGCCAGCAGCCGCGGUAAUACGUAGGGUGCAAGCGUUAUUCGGAAUUAUUGGGCGUAAAGAGCUCGUAGGCGGUUUGUCACGCCUGGUGUGAAAGUCCAUCGCUUAACGGUGGAUCUGCGCCGGGUACGGGCAGGCUAGAGUGCAGUAGGGGAGAUUGGAAUUCCCGGUGUAACGGUGGAAUGUGUAGAUAUC